rnacentral:rRNA from 1 species
GAUGAACGCUAGCGGCAGGCUUAAUACAUGCAAGUCGAGGGGCAGCAGGACGGUAGCAAUACCGUUGCUGGCGACCGGCAAACGGGUGCGGAACACGUACGCAACCUACCCAUAACUGGGGGAUAGCCCGGGGAAACCCGGAUUAAUACCUCGUAACCUUAUGAAGUGGCAUCGCUUUAUAAGUAUAGCUCCGGCGGUUAUGGAUGGGCGUGCGCCUGAUUAGGUAGUUGGCGGGGUAACGGCCCACCAAGCCUGCGAUCAGUAACUGGUGUGAGAGCACGACCAGUCACACGGGCACUGAGACGCGGGCCCGACUCCUACGGGAGGCAGCAGUAAGGAAUAUUGGUCAAUGGACGCAAGUCUGAACCAGCCAUGCCGCGUGAAGGAUGAAGGUCCUCUGGAUUGUAAACUUCUUUUAUAGGGGAAGAAAUCUGAAUAUUCCUAUUCAGUUGACGGUACCCUAGGAAUAAGCACCGGCUAACUCCGUGCCAGCCGCCGCAGUAACAC